UACGUAGGGUGCGAGCGUUGUCCGGAAUUAUUGGGCGUAAAGGGCUCGUAGGCGGUUUGUCGCGUCGGGAGUGAAAACACCGGGCUUAACCUGGUGCUGGCUUUCGAUACGGGCAGACUGGAGGCAUGCAGGGGAGAACGGAAUUCCUGGUGUAGCGGUGGAAUGCGCAGAUAUCAGGAGGAACACCGGUGGCGAAGGCGGUUCUCUGGGCAUGUCCUGACGCUGAGGAGCGAAAGUGUGGGGAGCGAACAGG
rnacentral:misc_RNA from 1 species